rnacentral:lncRNA from 1 species
GGGAGUGGGAUGGUGCUUCUUAUAUGCACUUUUGCUUCAUCCUCCUACUAAUUUGUGGAGAUUCAACAGUAAGCUGGGAGAACCCAUGGAGAAUGCAGAGAAUGCUUUGCUACAUGGAAAGGAAUCCACAAGAAGGAAAACCCCCAAAUAGCCUCACCAGACUUUGGAUCAGGCCCAUGAAAAUGCUGUGCUUUGUACAACGAUCUAAGAAGGGGCAAAAUGAAUCACCUCUAUUUCUGCAGAAAGAGCUUCCUUCUCUGAACACCUGGGUGUGGCUUUUCUCUGUUCUCAUAAAAUGAGUCUCAUGACCAGUUGCAGGAACACCCAGGGAACAGAACAAG